UACAGAGGGUGCAAGCGUUAAUCGGAAUUACUGGGCGUAAAGCGCACGUAGGUGGGUGCUUAAGUCGAAUGUGAAAUCUCUGGGCUUAACCUGGAAACUGCAUGCGAUACUGGGCACCUAGAGUUUGGUAGAGGGAAGUGGAAUUUCCGGAGUAGCGGUGAAAUGCGUAGAUAUCGGAAGGAACACCAGUGGCGAAGGCGACUUCCUGGGCCAAUACUGACGCUGAGGUGCGAAAGCGUGGGGAGCAAACAGG
rnacentral:rRNA from 1 species